rnacentral:rRNA from 1 species
GCGUGCCUAACACAUGCAAGUCGAACGGAGUUAUUAUUAUGAAGUCUUCGGAUGGAUUAAUAAUAACUUAGUGGCGGACGGGUGAGUAACGCGUGGGUAACCUGCCUCAUACAGGGGGAUAACAGCCGGAAACGGUUGCUAAAACCGCAUAAGCACACAGCAUCGCAUGAUGCAGUGUGAAAAUAUUUAUAGGUAUGAGAUGGGCCCGCGUCUGAUUAGCUAGUUGGUGGGGUAAAGGCCUACCAAGGCGACGAUCAGUAGCCGGCUUGAGGGAGUGACCGGCCACAUUGGGACUGAGACACGGCCCAAACUCCUACGGGAGGCAGCAGUGGGGAAUAUUGCACAAUGGGGGAAACCCUGAUGCAGCGACGCCGCGUGA